rnacentral:misc_RNA from 1 species
GAAAAUAAGGAGCUUGUGAUGGAAAGAAUGAGCUUGGACACUUUUGGGGGGUUUUCUCUUCAAAUAUGUGUUGUUGGUUCAUUUUUCUCUUUAGAUUUGUGUUGUUGAGGAUGUUUUAUGUUACAAAUUGAAGUUCAAGGACUGUGUUGAUAUAACACCUUAAGUUGAAGGAUAAUGUGCGAAAUUACCCAAAUGACGGCGAUGUCGAAACUCCAAUGUGCCGUGAGGCUUGAGGAGGAGCAAGAAGAAUUGGAGGAUGGUAGUGUCAAUGGAUUUUGAGACUUAGAUUUUGGAAUCAAUUGAAGAAGAUUAAGGAUUGAAUGUUGAAACAAAUAUUAGAACGAGAAAGGAGGGUGUUAGUUUGCGGGCAUUGGGUCGUGGCAUGAUA